rnacentral:rRNA from 1 species
GGGAUAUUGCACAAUGGGGGGAACCCUGAUGCAGCGACGCCGCGUGGGUGAAGACGCGCCUCGGCGCGUAAAGCCCUGUCAGCAGGGAAGAAAAUGACGGUACCUGAAGAAGAAGCCCCGGCUAACUACGUGCCAGCAGCCGCGGUAAUACGUAGGGGGCAAGCGUUAUCCGGAUUUACUGGGUGUAAAGGGGGCGCAGACGGCGAUGCAAGCCAGGAGUGAAAGCCCGGGGCCCAACCCCGGGACUGCUCUUGGAACUGCGUGGCUGGAGUGCAGGAGGGGCAGGCGGAAUUCCUGGUGUAGCGGUGAAAUGCGUAGAUAUCACGCAGAACUCCGAUUGCGAAGGCAGCAUACCGGCGCCCGACUGACGCUGAGGCACGAAAGCGUGGGUAUCGAACA